CAGAGUCAACCUCUUCGAGGCAGGAGCAUUCUGGCAUUUCGCACAGAGAAAACAGAACACAAUUUGCCCUCGGGCCCAGUUGAUGAUUCCUGGACCGUGGGGUCGAUAUCCAGGGCUGGCAUCUCCACGGUUCUUUUAUCUCAGUCUCCACUAUAAACACCAGGCCCCAUGAGAGCUGCUGGGCUGAGGCUCAUUUAAAGAAGCUUCCUGCGGAAUGAUGAGGGAAAAGGCAGGUCCGUAAAUCCCCGCCUGCGCCCGCCGAGGAUUCCAAGCGCAUGAGCAGCUCCAGGCUCCAGCUUGCUGUCCCCCUUGCCCUCCUUCUUGCAUUAGCAGGCACUUCCUCUAAGGCUGCUGCCCUGGGAGGGUUUCUUGCAAACCCACUAGAUCUGAGGAAAGACAGAGAAAACAUCUACUUAAGGCUGCCCAGAUGACAGCAUGUGUCUAAAAAUAUAUGUCUCCUAGUUUUCGAGUGAUCGAAGGCCCCACAGCCUUCAGCACUGGAGUCAUUUAGAGGUCAUGGUGAAAGGACUGGCUCCCUCCUUGCCUCCAUUUAAGCAGAAGCUGCGAGAAAGCCCCCAAAGCCUUGGGUCAUGUCUCCAACAGGCUCGGGUGAGUGGGAAGUUCGGCCUCAUAGAAGGCCCCUUGCUGGUGCGGUUCAUGAGGACGAUAAAUUAGCAAAGCUGAGGUGCGCCCAUCACGGUGAGCAGUUCUCUAUUGCUUCUCUUCUGGGGAAUGAACAGGCUUCAUUUGCUUUUCCCUGAGGCCAGGUUUCUAACCCAAAUCUGUCCCUGGAGUCUUUGGCCUGAAAUAAGAAAGGAGUCUUGAGUCAGCAGGAGAGCCACUCCUCACUAUGAAUUACACAGCAACUCCUUGUGGAUCUGCCCGUACCCUUCCCCCGGGCACACAUCAAUCAAUCGAAGUAUUUCUCAAAUAUCUACCCCAUACCCAGAACUGGGCAUUUAGGUACGUGGUUCAAGUUUCAGAUUCUUCCAGCAAAUGGUUUGUAUGGGGUAAGAAAAAGGAUUGGAGGUCAGGUAGGCAGCUGAGUAAUCCCCAACUCUGCCUUUUUAAAAGUGGUUUCAGUUGCGCAUCCUUGGAAUUGAUUCUGGGCAGCUGUUAAUUGCAAAACUCACUGCCAAUUAUCGAUAGCUAAAGUGGCAUUGGAGAGCUUCUCAUGGUAAAAAUAGGGGCAGGUAAUAGAUGAGAAAAUAGCUUUACAUUUGAGAAGAGAGGAUGGGAACAUAUUGUCUCAAUCUUGCUGUGUUCGAGGUUUCCUUUGUCAGCCUGGGUUCUCUCCCAAGACUGGCCAGCAAAGUCUACUUAGUGACCUCCAGCAAAUAGUCCACCAGCAAGCUACUUAAGAUUAGAGCAGGCUGGGCGUGGUGGCUCACGCCUGUAAUCCCAGGACUUUGGGAGGCUGAGGCGGGUGGAUCACGAGGUCAGGAGAUCGAGACCAUCCUGGCUAACAUGGAGAAACCCCGUCUCUACUAAAAAUACAAAAAAUUAGCUGGGCGUGGUGGUGGGCGCCUGUAGUCCCAGCUGCUC
rnacentral:lncRNA from 10 species